GCGUUGCUCAUUUUAUGAGGGGGAGAAGACACGAGAAAAACCGAGCUGCCCUCUUCUUCUUCCUUAAAAAACUCCAUGAAAAGCAUUGAAAUUUCCAGCGAAAUAUCACCAUUUUCUCCAUUAGAACUAGCAGCUUUUUAUGCACGAAAUCCCGUCAAAACAGUCCCUAAAACUCCACCUGAAAACAACCACAAAAACAGUUGAAAUCCGCCCCCAAACCAGCACCAAAAAUCCGGCGAUUGCUGCCGAAAACCCAGCCAUGAAAGCCACAUUUUCACCUCCAAAACUCCACUCAUCUCCAGCCCUUUUCGGCCAUAAAGUCGCACUUUUAGCUCUAAGAACUCAGCUGAAAACGCAGCAGACUUCACCCCAAAACUCACCAAAAAAUCAGCCAAAACGCAGCUGAAAUUACUCCCUAAAAGCAGCUCCAAAACAACCCGAAAUUCCCUAAAAAGCAUCCCGAAAUCUUUCCCCAAAACUCCCCAAAUUCCAGCUCCAAAAAUACCCCAAAACCACCAUGAAACAACAGCACAAAACAUCACUAACAUACUGUCGGAAAUCGUCGCUAAAGUGAGGUAUCGUUCGAUUUUGCCGGGUUCGUCUAAGUCCUGAUGUACAGAUCGUCUUAGGAUUGUGAUUUGGGAGCUCCUCUUUCAUUGUAAAUGUUAGAGUAUAUGCAGCAAUAAAGGUGUAGGUCCGCAACUUCGUGAUAGCUGAGUGUGACAAAUAAUACUUUGGUCUGAGGCUGUGCUCUGUUAACAUUCAUUUGUCUACCAAAUUCUUCAGCAUUGCACCACUUCCAGGUUUUCCUUUCCAACAUAUCGUAGCAGAUCACAAAGCAAUGUUUACAGAAAGGGAACCAUUUUGCUAGAAGCCUCUCUAAUGAAUCUUUCGUAGAUGAAGUUUGCCAACAGAACCUAUGGAAUCACUCCUUCCAUCUCUCGACGAAAUUAUCGAUCUUUACCUGCAAAGGGAUAGUAAGUACCCAUUUGAAUCAAACUCGUGAGACGAAAUUGCUAUUGCAUGCCUAUGGCCACAAAGGACAAGAGUUACAUUUUCAGGUUCAUAUCUGAAGUUUUCCACGAGAUCCUUUGCAAGCACUCCUUUCAUCACUCGUCGAAUUGCAGGCGCAGAGAAAGGCAAGCUCACUUUCAGUCAGAUCUUGCAUUGAAAGCCCUUGCCAUCCGAGGGAUGCAUUGAAUAAUUGAGUGGAAGCAGCGGCAUAUACUAGGGAAAGGAGAGUUUCCUACACUUAAGAGACUUGCAAUUGAAGGUUGCCCCAAGUUGAUCGGGAAGUUGCCUGAAAAUCUUUGUUCUUUGACAGCAUUGAUAAUGUCUCAAAUGUCCUGGACUCAUUUUGUAUUCCCAGUAUCAGAUAUGUAGAACAAUACAAUCACCCAGAGGUUAAUCUUGUUUAGUUUUAUAUGCAUGUUAUGAGACUACCUUGUAAAAGCCAACAGAAAUUUUUAUUUUCUUCUAUUUUGUAGGAAUUUGAUAACAGUACAAUGUUCAAUCGAUUGCUUUCUCUGCUCUA